CGCGAACGCGAAGACAUUGAUUUUUACCACGCACGCGCUGGCCAACCAAUGUUUCCAUUGUAACGUGAGCGCGUUCAUUCGCCCGGGACGAGACUGGGGGGUGGGGGUGGGGGCGAGAGAAGCCGUUGCCACAGCGGGCAAAAUAAAGAGAUGACGAUGGACCAGCUAAGCUCUUUAACUGGCGCUCACGGUAGGGACUCGCGCUUAUGCCCGGACAAGAAACAGGCCGGGCGGGGGAAAGCAGAAAUCGCUGGGGGGAAAAAAAAAAGGAAAGCUGAGUAAAGCCGCGCGCUCUCACGCGAGAGCUUGUACGCAGGCGCAUUCGUUGUCUUCCUACGGACUAGCCAGAGAGCGACGCUUAAGGAAAAAACGAGGAGGUGGGGGGGUAAGGGCGGACGUAAUCGUGAGGUUGACUGACUGACUGUCUUGGUUGGCUGCGGCGAGGGCCACGUAGCGCUGCGGCGGCGGCGGCGGCGGCAGGGAGGGCGGGCGAUCGAAGGAUAGGCAGAACCACGGCGGAGGUAGCUGCAGAGGGGCCAAGGCCUGGUCCUAAAAACAGGCGGCGGCGGGGGCUUUAACCAGGGGAGGGCAGGAAGGAAGGAGGGCCCUGACCGCCCUCUCCUUCCCCCUCCCCUCCCCCGCCUCAGCAUGGAUCGCGGCGGCGGCGGCGGCGAUGGAGAGGUGGAGGCGACAACAGCGGACGAUCCCGGCCUGGCAGUCACACAGACCGUUUUUCUCCAGAGGAUCUGUCCCCAACUUGGACCUUCAACACUUCCAUUGAUUCACCUAGUGCAACAAUACUGUCCAUCCACCUUGCUGGUUGGUCAUCCAUCCCUUCCUUCUGAUUAUGCCACACACAAAUAUGUAGGUUUGGAUAAUUUUCCUAUAAAUAAAUGAACAAUUUGACUCAUUGUUAAUUGGGUUAUCUUUAUUUAGUUUUAGAUCUUAUAUGGAAAACAUAUUUUAGAUCAUAUUUAUGCAGAAUAUUGAAAAUUCAAUUCAGAACUUUUAAGAACCAUUUUGUAUUUAAAAUGCAUGGAACCAACAGAUAUUCUUUUCAUGUAUUAUGUUAACUAUGGCUUUUUAGUUGGGGGAGGGGAGGGAGGGAAAGAGAAAGAAAAUCUGGAAAUCUUGAUCAACAACUCAGUGGUUUGUGUGGUUGUGUGUAUGUAUGCAUAUAUAGGUUGUCCUGAACCCUAGGUACAGAUGCUUUACAGUCCAUAAAGUACUUCCAGCCACCACAAAAUAUCACACACACACACCCCACUCCGGUCUUGCGCCUACAUUUGGGCAACUUGACAGCUGGCUAGUCUUUAUGACUGUUUGCAGUAUGCUGUGGUCACCUGACCAUAAUUUGCAACUCAUGGUGAUUUGCUUCACAAUCCCAGCAAAACAUUUCCAG
rnacentral:lncRNA from 1 species